rnacentral:lncRNA from 1 species
CGAUGCAAUCUUUCUCUAUGCUAAAAUAGUUUUUGCAUGAGAUUUUUUCAUGCCAAAGAGUUCUUUCUCUUCUCUAUCUCACAUCCAAAUUUGGGUAUAUUCAGGUUUUAAAUGGUAUGUUCAAAUUUGAUUUGAAAUAGGAUACCAUAUAGAUAAUGUUUGACAUUAUCUCUAAGACCUUGCAGCCAACUUAUUUUUUUUCCUUAUGUGUGUGACAUUUUGAGGAGAUUUUUUACAAAAAAUUAGUUGAAGAACUAAUUUACCA